GAUGAACGCUGGCGGCGUGCCUAAUACAUGCAAGUCGAGCGAAGCGGGGAAGGGUGAGUAACACGUGGAUAACCUCCUAUAAGACUGGGAUAACUUCGGGAAACCGGAGCUAAACCGGAUACUUAAAGUUGGAUCCGCGCUGCAUUAGCUAGUUGGUAAGGUGACGGCUUACCAAGGCAACGAUGCAUAACCGACCUGAGAGGGUGAGCGGCCACACGGAAGCGUAGCCUCGCGCCGGACUCCGGCGGGAGGCAGCGGUGGGGAAUCUUCCGCAGUGUGCGAAAGCCUGACGGAGCACCGCCGCGUGAGUUUUGCCGGUCUUCGGUUCGUAAAACUCUGUUAUUCGGGCAGCGGUACCUAAUCAGAAAGCCCCGGCUAACUCCGUGCCAGCAGCCGCGGUAAUUC
rnacentral:rRNA from 1 species